UACGCUGGCCGCGUGCUUAACACAUGCAAGUCGAGCGGAAAGGCCCUUCGGGGUACUCGAGCGGCGAACGGGUGAGUAACACGUGAGCAACCUGCCCCUGGCUCUGGGAUAGCCUCCGGAAACGGGGAUUAAUACCGGACAUUCUCCUUCUUCCGCAUGGUUGAGGGUGGAAAGUUUUUUCGGCCGGGGAGGGGCUCGCGGCCUAUCAGCUUGUUGGCGGGGUAACGGCCCACCAAGGCGACGACGGGUAGCCGGCCUGAGAGGGCGACCGGCCACACUGGGACUGAGACACGGCCCAGACUCCUACGGGAGGCAGCAGUGGGGAAUAUUGCGCAAUGGGCGGAAGCCUGACGCAGCGACGCCGCGUGGGGGAUGAAGGCCUUCGGGUUGUAAACCCCUUUCACCAGGAGCGAAUCCAGACGGUACCUGGGGAAGAAGCGCCGGCUAACUACGUGCCAGCAGCCGCGGUAAUACGUAGGGCGCGAGCGUUGUCCGGAAUUAUUGGGCGUAAAGAGCUCGUAGGCGGCCUGUCGCGUCCGCAGUGAAAUCCUGGGGCUUAACCCCGGGCGUGCAGUGGAUACGGGCUGGCUAGAGGCAGGCAGGGGAGAACGGAAUUCCCGGUGUAGCGGUGAAAUGCGCAAAUAUCGGGAGGAACACCGGUGGCGAAAGGCGGUUUCUCUGGGCCUGUUCUGACGCUGAGGAGCGAAAGCG
rnacentral:rRNA from 1 species